AAGAACUUUUACUGUCCCUUUUUCAUGACUUGGUUUUCAACAAACUGGAACAUUAUGUUCUUCCCAGUCUAUUACUCCGGCCAUCUGGCCACGGCUCAAGAAAAGCAGUCGCCAAUGAAAAAAUUCAGGGAAUGCAGUCGGAUCUUUGGUGAAGAUGGCCUGACACUGAAGCUCUUUCUUAAAAGAACUGCUCCCUUUUCUAUUCUGUGGACUUUGACAAAUUACCUGUAUUUACUGGCUUUAAAGAAGCUGACAGCCACUGACGUCUCUGCUCUGUUCUGUUGCAACAAAGCCUUUGUCUUCUUGCUGUCCUGGAUUGUGCUGAAGGACAGGUUCAUGGGAGUACGGGUAAUGGCACACUCAAUUCCAUGCGCGGUGCCUCCCUGCUUCCUAAAUCUUAUCACCGCACUGCUGUUUCGUGGAGUUUCUCUAAAACUUUCCCCACUGAUUCUGAGUACAAAUUGUCCCUCAAGAAGGCUAAAGCGGGAGGAAGACUUGAGACCAGGAAUUCAAGCCCAGUCUUGGAGAUAGAAAAACUCUAUCUCUUUAGAGAAGAAAAUAAGCACGUGAUUACAGAAACUCCGAAUGAGUUUGAGAGACACUGCUCAGAGAUUCAGAGUGGAAGCUUGACAUGAACAGUCAAAAACUAGAUUUAAUAAGAAAUGAAAUAAUAAACUUCCUUUGCCAUUU
rnacentral:lncRNA from 1 species